rnacentral:lncRNA from 1 species
CAUGGUCUGAUCGAGGGCCUUUCUGGACGGAGGGACCUCGGCCUCAAACAGUUCCAGACGAUUCUCUCUUUGAUCCCGCGGUAAGUCUCUUGAUCCUGCAGUUCCGUAUCAGUUUGGUAACAAAUAUUGUCUACAGAGUACCUUGGACUAUGGACUGGUUCCCGAUUUUUGCAUGGAAAGUACGGAAGUUGAGGCGGUUGGACAGGUACCGGUUGUAAACUUCGGGGAGGAUAGACUUACUCCACGAGGCGGAAGAGAAGCUCGUGUCAUGAGAUAUAGAGAAAAACGGAGAACUCGACUGUUUUCCAAGAAGAUCCGCUACGAGGUCCGGAAACUCAAUGCUGAAAGAAGGCCACGGCUAAAGGUUAGUAUCUACAGUGAAAAAAAGAAAAAGAAAAACAGUACCUUUCAUAACUGAUCGUGUUCUCUUGUUCAGGGUCGCUUUGUAAAAAGAACCAACAGCACGCCCCACGCCUGAAGCCUUCGAAUUCC